UCUGAACGUUCAUACUCUGAUGUGUCAUCAGCUUAGGUCCUUGUCAUGUCCUGAUCUGUGUAGGUGAAACAGGAGGAAGAGGAGGAGGAGGUGAUCUGUAUUAAGGAGGAGCCGGAGGAGCAGGAGCAGGAAGUGAUGGCCACCCUGCUGCUGGAUUGUCAGGUGCAGCAGGAUGACCUGCCAGACUCAGAGUCUCAGAGGUCGAUGACAGAGUGGUCAAGACUUCCAGCAGGUCAGAGCAGUCUCACUGCAGCGUUCAGCUCAGCCGGACCCAGCACAGGGUCACCGCUGUGCUCGGAUUCGCCGCCUCAGUUGGUGGACCCCCUGCCUCCCAGCACCCCUCCUCGGCAGUCAGUGCGACCCUGGAACAAAGACCUCAGCCUGUACGAAGAGUACAAACUGCGCAGGAAUGAGCGGCGGCGGCGAAACAUCAACAGACGCAGAGAGCUGGAGAAGAUGCUGCCUCAGCCUCUGCUGGCGGAUAUAGUGAGUGGCAGUAACACACAGACCUAGACUAGGGUCACAUGCACAGAGUUAGAGCAUGCUCCAGGAGACGAGCGGACAGCAAUCAGUCUGCGGCUGAA
rnacentral:lncRNA from 1 species